rnacentral:piRNA from 1 species
UGCAAGCUGCUCUGCCACUUGGGCCA